AUUGAACGCUGGCGGCAUGCCUUACACAUGCAAGUCGAACGGCAGCACGGGAGCAAUCCUGGUGGCGAGUGGCGAACGGGUGAGUAAUAUAUCGGAACGUGCCCAGUCGUGGGGGAUAACGCAGCGAAAGCUGUGCUAAUACCGCAUACGAUCUAAGGAUGAAAGCUGGGGAUCGCAAGACCUCGCGCGAUUGGAGCGGCCGAUAUCAGAUUAGCUAGUUGGUGGGGUAAAGGCCCACCAAGGCGACGAUCUGUAGCUGGUCUGAGAGGACGACCAGCCACACUGGAACUGAGACACGGUCCAGACUCCUGCGGGAGGCAGCAGUGGGGAAUUUUGGACAAUGGGCGCAAGCCUGAUCCAGCAAUGCCGCGUGCAGGAUGAAGGCCUUCGGGUUGUAAACUGCUUUUGUACGGAACGAAACGGCCCUUUCUAAUACAGGGGGCUAAUGACGGUACCGUAAGAAUAAGCACCGGCUAACUACGUGCCAGCCGCCGCAGUAA
rnacentral:rRNA from 1 species